UCCGGUUUGUCACCGGCAGUCUCCCUAGAGUGCCCUUGCGUAGCAACUAGGGACAAGGGUUGCGCUCGUUGCGGGACUUAACCCAACAUCUCACGACACGAGCUGACGACAGCCAUGCAGCACCUGUGUUCCGAUUCUCUUUCGAGCACACCCGCCUCUCAGCAGGCUCUCGGACAUGUCAAGGGUAGGUAAGGUUGUUCGCGUUGCAUCGAAUUAAUCCACAUCAUCCACCGCUUGUGCGGGUCCCCGUCAAUUCCUUUGAGUUUUAACCUUGCGGCCGUACUCCCCAGGCGGUCAACUUCACGCGUUAGCUACGGUACUCAGAAAUCGCUUCCCGAACACCCAGUUGACAUGGUUUAGGGCGUGGACUAC
rnacentral:misc_RNA from 1 species